UACAUAGGGGGCAAGCGUUAUCCGGAAUUAUUGGGUGUAAAGGGUGCGUAGACGGAGAAACGAGUUGGUUGUGAAAUCCCUCGGCUCAACCGAGGAACUGCAACCAAAACUAUUUCCCUUGAGUGUCGGAGAGGAAAGUGGAAUUCCUAGUGUAGCGGUGAAAUGCGUAGAUAUUAGGAGGAACACCAGUGGCGAAGGCGACUUUCUGGACGAUAACUGACGUUGAGGCACGAAAGUGUGGGGAGCAAACAGG
rnacentral:rRNA from 1 species